GAAACUGCGAAUGGCUCAUUAAAUCAGUUAUGGUUUAUUUGAUGGUACCUACUACUUGGAUAACCGUAGUAAUUCUAGAGCUAAUACAUGCAGGAAGACCCGACUCACGAAGGGUUGUAUUUAUUAGAUAAGAAACCUUCCCCUUUGGGUUGCGUGCCGAGUCACAAUAACUGCUCGAAUCGCAUGCUUCACGCCGGCGAUGGUUCAUUCAAAUUUCUGCCCUAUCAGCUUUCGAUGGUAGGAUCGAGGCCUACCAUGGCGUUUACGGGUAACGGAGAAUUAGGGUUCGAUUCCGGAGAGGGAGCCUGAGAGAUGGCUACCACAUCCAAGGAAGGCAGCAGGCGCGUAAAUUGCCCGAAUCCUGACACAGGGAGGUAGUGACAAGAAAUAACAAUACAGGGCUACAUCUAGUCUUGUAAUUGGAAUGAGUACAAUUUACAUCUCUUCACGAGGAUCAAUUGGAGGGCAAGUCUGGUGCCAGCAGCCGCGGUAAUUCCAGCUCCAAUAGCGUAUAUUAAAGUUGUUGCAGUUAGAACGCUCGUAGUCGGAUUUCGGGGCGGGCCUACCGGUCUGCCGAUGGGUACGCACUGGUGGGCGCGUCCUUCCUUCCGGAGACCGUUUCUGUUCUUAACUGAAUGGGAGCGGGAGACGGAUCGUUUACUUUGAAAAAAUCAGAGUGUUUCAAGCAGGCAGCUCGCUCUUGCAUGGAUUAGCAUGGGAUAAUGAAAUAGGACUUUGGUGCUAUUUUGUUGGUUUCGAACACCGAAGUAAUGAUUAAUAGGGACAGUCAGGGGCACUCGUAUUCCGCCGAGAGAGGUGAAAUUCUCAGACCAGCGGAAGACGAACCACUGCGAAAGCAUUUGCCAGGGAUGUUUUCACUGAUCAAGAACGAAAGUUAGGGGAUCGAAGAGGAUCAGAUACCCUCGUA
rnacentral:rRNA from 1 species